UGGUAAUAUUGUGCAAUCACCGAAACCCUGACGCAGCAAUACGGCGUGAUUGCAGAAGGUUUGCGGAUCGUAAAGCUCUGUUAUCGGGGAAGAAAAACAGAAGGUGCCCAAGAAUAAAUCUCCAUCUACGUACGUACCAGCAGCCGCGGUAAUACGUAGGGGACAAGCGUUGUCCGGAUUUACUGGGCGUAAAGGGCACGCAGGCGGUUUUUUAAGUCAGAUGUGAAAGGUACCGGCUCAACCGGUGACAUGCAUUUGAAACUGAAAGACUUGAGUAUUGGAGAGGCAAGUGGAAUUCCUAGUGUAGCGGUGAAAUGCGUAGAUAUUAGGAGGAACACCGGUGGCGAAGGCGGCUUGCUGGACAAAUACUGACGCUGAGGUGCGAAAGCGUGGGGAGCAAACA
rnacentral:rRNA from 1 species